rnacentral:rRNA from 1 species
GACGAACGCUGGCGGCGUGCUUAACACAUGCAAGUCGAACGGUAAGGCUCCAGCUUGCUGGGGUACACGAGUGGCGAACGGGUGAGUAACACGUGGGUGACCUGCCCUGCACUUCGGGAUAAGCCUGGGAAACUGGGUCUAAUACCGGAUAGGACCAUGGUGUGGAUACUGUGGUGGAAAGUUUUUUCGGUGUGGGAUGGGCCCGCGGCCUAUCAGCUUGUUGGUGGGGUAAUGGCCUACCAAGGCGGCGACGGGUAGCCGGCCUGAGAGGGUGGACGGCCACAUUGGGACUGAGACACGGCCCAGACUCCUACGGGAGGCAGCAGUGGGGAAUAUUGCACAAUGGGCGGAAGCCUGAUGCAGCGACGCCGCGUGGGGGAUGACGGCCUUCGGGUUGUAAACUCCUUUCACCAUCGACGAAGGGUUUCUGACGGUAGAUGGGGAAGAAGCACCGGCUAACUACGUG